UAUCGACCCAAACCCAUCAUAUC
rnacentral:snRNA from 1 species